rnacentral:lncRNA from 1 species
CCCAACCCCCUCUAUCGUCUCUUUACCACACCCCAUCUCCUCAAACCCUAAUUCCGCCGCCACCAAACCCCACCGCCCUAGGGUGUUAGGCGCCACUUCCAAUCGCUCCCAAAUUUACACCACCAGAUCAUCUCUCCCUCCUCUUUCCAUCCCCGUGCUUGAAAAUCCUCGAAUCACAUUCCGCCGUGUUGAAUCUUCGAUUUAAUUUUUCCAAUCAAGUUCUGAAAUAGCCCAAUCUGGCCCAAAUUGGUACCAGAUAACCUUCGUCCCUUCCCUAUCAAUAAAACAUGUUCGGAAUCCCUCAAAUACAAGCAGAAGGUCCUGAAUCGCGGAUCUAUGGUUUUGAGGUUUGAAGCUAUAUUAGGGAUUUUUCUCGGUCGAAUUCUUUUUACAGUAAGUUCUCUUCCAUGUUCUAAGUUCGAUUAGUUUGAUGACUUCUUUUCUUCUCCUCUUUUGAUUUGAUCGAUUCUGAGACCAUGCGUAGUUAAUUCAGAGUUCAUGUCUCCUUGAUGUUUAAUCUUUGUGUCGAUUCUUUUGUCCAGUUCCGUAUUAAGCUUAGGUAAUAUCAAUCCAUCCUUGUGGUUUUGCUUAAAUACUUUAAUAAUGCUUUGUUAGCUUGCUUGAUUUCUUGUCCUUUAGUUUCAGUUUGAUUUUUAUUAUCUUGAUUAAUUUUUGUUUUAUUGAAAUUUGUUGUGAUUCAAUGCAUAAUUGUGUUCUAGUUUCAAUUUUGUGUUUAAUCCGUAUUUACCAGUUCAUGAUGUUACUUCUAUUAUCGCACUUUGUGUUAGUCAGCUGUUAAUUAGUUUCUUUUGCCUAAUUUCUAUUUACUUUGGUCUAGCAAUAAUGUUAAUCAAAGCAUUAAAGUGAGUUAGGAUUAAAUUUUGGGUGGUGUUGAUUGGUUAUAGUUAGUUUGGAUUCAUUAGGGUUAACUUCAGUUAGCUUUUAACAGGGGUAUAGGGGUUUGGUAUAGCAGACCUUAGUAUGUAAAUUUCAGAGUGGGCAAGGGUAGUCUGGGCAUCCAAAAAGGGUAAUUUUAUUAGAAUUAGUAAUUUCAAAAUAGGGGUAAGGGUAGUAUGGGUAUUUUGGGGGCUAAAAGAGCAUCCUAGAUGCUUCUAGAAUAUGGUGCAAGUGUAGAUUUCAGGUUUUUAAAAGCACUUACUUGGGUAGCAAGUUAGGAAUAGUAGGACCAAACUAAAAUAAUGGAGGGACUAACAAGCAAACCCUCAAAUAUGAUUUUCCUCUUUUAGUGGCCUAGAAAAGGGCAUCAAGUGCCUUAAGGAAGGGGGUUCUCUCUUCAGCCAAUAUUACCCUAAAAACAUCCUUUAUACAUUAAUUUUCAGAUUGGCAUUUCUCUGAUUCUCUGUCAUAGAGAACUCAAAAAUUUAUUUUAGAUUUUAGUCUUAUAUUGAAAACCAAAAAAAAAAAAGUCGAAAAACCAAAAAAGGUACUAUUUCGUUCAAUCUCUUAGCUAAUUCGUGGUUUUAGUUAAGUGGUUUGUAUUUCUAGCUCAUAUUUUAGUAGUUGCAAUUCAGAGUUAGUCAUGGAUUGAUUUCGAGUGGUUGCGGAGUUCAAACAAGUCGGUUUUGGUAUUGGUUUAAGUGCUGAGCUACUAUAGUAUAUUUCUGGGUCAUUUUGGUUUUUAUUUGGGUUUAAUGGAACUCAUUUUGGUGUGAUCUGUCGAAUCUGCUAGUUGUAUAGCAUUUCAGGACUGUUUUUUACUCGUUUCUGGGCUGGAACUUGGUGUGAUUUGUCCAAUUGAAUCUGAACUGCUGUUGUUGAUCUCUGCUCACUGUUGUUGACUCAUUCUUCUUUCUCUUGUAUUUCACAUAUUCAGGUACACAUUUUAAAACUUGACCUGGUGUAAUUAUGAAGUUGAAAUGCAAUCACAUGUUCAUUCAUCUGUCUCUGGAAGCCACAUCUAUUAGAAUAUGAUGCCAUUGUAGUUAACUGGAUAUUAGAUUAGUGUAGUUUAUUUAUGCUUUGUAUGAAUCUAAUUGGACUAUCCUAGACUAUUUAAACUUAUGGUCAUCUAGUUUAGGGUUCAGUAUAGUUAACAUUUGUCUGUUAAAACGAGGAAUUAGAAUUGAUUUGGGUUUUGCAAUAGGUUUUGAAAUCUGCAUGUAAUGUUCAUGUAAUCUUCGUUCAAGACGACGAGACAAUUUCAAAUUAUUUUGUAUUGCUGUAGUUGAUAUCAAUAGAAUAAUCAUUCAUGUAUUUCAGCUCAGUUAUAUGAUGAUCAAAUGUGGAUUAAGUCCAAAUAUAUUAGUUAAAUUAAUUUAAUCUGUUUGAAUAAUUAAACUGUUGUCAGGGAAUUGAAAUUGAACGAGUGAUCUCAAAGUGCCAAGCUGUUAUUGCAUUGAAGCCUCACACUGAGUUUGAAUUUGGGCAAAGAACGCUCGGCCCAAACCAGGCCUGAAAUCCAUUUGUAGGCCUCGCGAAUCGAACUCAGUGCCUUAUCAAAUUUGCUUCCAUCAGCCUUUAAGUGGGCAUUCCCUUUGGGCCUCCAUACCCUUUCACGCAGGCCCAUGUUCAAUGGUAUGCUCUUUCAC